rnacentral:rRNA from 1 species
AUUGAACGCUGGCGGCAUGCCUUACACAUGCAAGUCGAACGGCAGCGGACCUUCGGGUGCCGGCGAGUGGCGAACGGGUGAGUAAUGCAUCGGAACGUACCUUUCAGUGGGGGAUAACGUAGCGAAAGUUACGCUAAUAGCGCAUAUUCUGUGAGUAGGAAAGCAGGGGAUCGCAAGACCUUGCGCUGAUUGAGCGGCCGAUGUCAGAUUAGCUAGUUGGUGAGGUAAAGGCUCACCAAGGCGACGAUCUGUAGCGGGUCUGAGAGGAUGAUCCGCCACACUGGGACUGAGACACGGCCCAGACUCCUACGGGAGGCAGCAGUGGGGAAUUUUGGACAAUGGGGGCAACCCUGAUCCAGCCAUGCCGCGUCAGUGAAGAAGGCCUUCGGGUUGUAAAGCUCUUUCGGCCGGGAAGAAAUCGCACAGGCUAAUACCUUGUGUGGAUGACGGUACCGGAAUAAGAAGCACCGGCUAACUACGUGCCAGCCGCCGCCGUAA